CCCUCAGGCGCAGUGUGCAGCGCUGCAGGAGUUCAGAAAGUGAGGAACAUGAAAAGCUGAAAAAAGUUUGAGAGCCCUGCAGCAGUGUGUUGUCACAGCGGGACAGUCCUGAACUCUCUGCCACUGAUCUGUGAGAGGGGGGGACACUGGGACCGAGUCUGCUUGAUUCAAACAUACACAACACUUUUUAAAAAAAGUUACUCAAAAUUUGGGGAACAUUUGUGGAAACGUAUCAACUGUCAAGCGACACUGCAAUACGAUGAUGCUUUGAGCGUCGACAGCGUGAGAAAGCAGAAAUAUGACAGUGACUGACAGAAGUCUGGGAGUGAAGAGUGACAGACGGCAGACAGAGACAUAACAUCAGCCCACACAGAUGGAUGGAAAAGGUAAAAAAAAAAAACUGCAGAGAAAUAUUAUGUUUCACAUGACGUUGGUUCAGUUGACCAUUUACAGCCUUUAAUGUAAUUACCCUCAAAGUCAUUUUAAUGUUUUUCUCUUCCUGGUUUCUAUCUCGGGACUCAUCGAGAGACAGAAAAUCAACAGCAGCUGGAAAAAAAAAGACAAUCUUCUCUGCCGUCUGAACAUAGACUCUGGAAAUGAAUUCUGUUUAUUCUGGCUAAAUAUAUCUGUGAUGAUUGUUUGAGUUAAUAAAGGAAAAUCUAUUACUGCGCUGGA